UCAACCGUCCACUCUUCGUCUCUUAAUCUCUAAGUGCAGAUCUCCCUUACUCUCCCUUUCUUUCAAUUUUGUUUGGUGAUUGUGGGGUACCUAGGUUUCGGCCACUGGAAGUUUGUGGGUCCCCUUAAAUCGGUGUCGCCGACAACCAUCAUCAGAAACAUUGGAUUUAGCGCCGAACUCUGCCCAAGCGUAUUUCAGUUGCUGCCAACGUCUCUAUACUUCUCCCUUCCAUUGUACUCGAACUCAAACGUUUGGUUGUGAUACUGUUAGAGGUCAGACCCAAGGCAUAUCUUGUACAUGGAAGUCAGGUAAGCGGAGUUCAUAUACUAGUUUUGCAUAAAAUAAAUGAAAUGAGGUUGACUUUGAAAAUA